rnacentral:rRNA from 1 species
UACGUAGGGGGCGAGCGUUGUCCGGAAUCAUUGGGCGUAAAGCGCGCGUAGGUGGCUUCGUAAGUCCGCUGUGAAAGUCAAAGGCUCAACCUUUGAAAGCCGGUGGAUACUGUGAAGCUAGAGUCCGGAAGAGGCGAGUGGAAUUCCUGGUGUAGCGGUGGAAUGCGCAGAUAUCAGGAGGAACACCAAUAGCGAAGGCAGCUCGCUGGGACGGUACUGACACUGAGGCGCGAAAGCUAGGGGAGCGAACAGG